AGUGAACGCUGGCGGUAGGCCUAACACAUGCGAGUCGAACGGCAGCACAGUAAGAGCUUGCUCUUACGGGUGGCGAGUGGCGGACGGGUGAGGAAUACAUCGGAAUCUACUUUUUCGUGGGGGAUAACGUAGGGAAACUUACGCUAAUACCGCAUACGACCUACGGGUGAAAGCAGGGGAUCUUCGGACCUUGCGCGAUUGAAUGAGCCGAUGUCGGAUUAGCUAGUUGGCGGGGUAAAGGCCCACCAAGGCGACGAUCCGUAGCUGGUCUGAGAGGAUGAUCAGCCACACUGGAACUGAGACACGGUCCAGACUCCUACGGGAGGCAGCAGUGGGGAAUAUUGGACAAUGGGCGCAAGCCUGAUCCAGCCAUACCGCGUGGGUGAAGAAGGCCUUCGGGUUGUAAAGCCCUUUUGUUGGGAAAGAAAAGCAGCAGGUUAAUACCCCGCUGUUCUGACGGUACCCAAAGAAUAAGCACCGGCGAACUUCGU
rnacentral:rRNA from 1 species